AACGCGAAGAACCUUACCAGGGUUUGACAUCCUGCGAAUCCCUUGGAAACGAGGGAGUGCCUUCGGGAGCGCAGAGACAGGUGGUGCAUGGCUGUCGUCAGCUCGUGUCGUGAGAUGUUGGGUUAAGUCCCGCAACGAGCGCAACCCACGUCUUUAGUUGCCAGCAUUCAGUUGGGCACUCUAGAGAGACCGCCGGUGAUAAACCGGAGGAAGGUGUGGAUGACGUCAAGUCAUCAUGCCCCUUACAUCCUGGGCUACACACGUACUACAGUGCUACGGACAAAGGGCAGCAAGCUCGCGAGAGUAAGCAAAUCCCAUAAACCGUGGCUCAGUUCAGAUCGUAGGCUGCAACUCGCCUACGUGAAGGAGGAAUCGCUAGUAAUCGCAGGUCAGCAUACUGCGGUGAAUACGUUCCCGGGCCUUGUACACACCG
rnacentral:rRNA from 1 species